AGUGAACGCUGGCGGUAGGCCUAACACAUGCAAGUCGAACGGCAGCACAGUAAGAGCUUGCUCUUACGGGUGGCGAGUGGCGGACGGGUGAGGAAUACAUCGGAAUCUACUUUUUCGUGGGGGAUAACGUAGGGAAACUUACGCUAAUACCGCAUACGACCUACGGGUGAAAGCAGGGGAUCUUCGGACCUUGCGCGAUUGAAUGAGCCGAUGUCGGAUUAGCUAGUUGGCGGGGUAAAGGCCCACCAAGGCGACGAUCCGUAGCUGGUCUGAGAGGAUGAUCAGCCACACUGGAACUGAGACACGGUCCAGACUCCUACGGGAGGCAGCAGUGGGGAAUAUUGGACAAUGGGCGCAAGCCUGAUCCAGCCAUACCGCGUGGGUGAAGAAGGCCUUCGGGUUGUAAAGCCCUUUUGUUGGGGAAGAAAAGCAGCAGGUUAAUACCCCGCUGUUCUGACGGUACCCAAAGAAUAAGCACCGGCUAACUUCGUGC
rnacentral:rRNA from 1 species